GCAAUGACUUUGAGUCAUUCCCAAACCCCAACUCAUUUCACCCGACCUCCUCGUCUUCCUCCUCCGCCUCUGCAGCACCCUACCCUUAUCACUCGCAACCCUUAUAACCUAGUCUCUGAGCUUCGGCUGCUGUGCCUCCUCAACACCACAACCCUUCAGCACUGCUCUAAUUGCAGGCGUCGGAGAACCCCAUGAGGGAAAUCAAGGUCCAGAAGCUCGUCCUCAACAUCUCCGUCUGCGAGAGCGGCGAUCGUCUCACCAAGGCCGCCAAGGUCUUUGGAGCAACUCAGUGGCCAGACCCCUGUUUUCUCCAAAGCUCGGUACACUGUGAGGUCUUUCGGUAUUCAGGAGCCUAUCGAUCUUGGAAUUAAAUCUGAAUUUAGUGUUCUCUUAGCAUACUUCUACCUAUGUGAUUGGACAGAUUUCUUCAACUCUUCAAAAAAGGUGACAUUGACAACUUAAUCCUGUUAUGUUAGUCAUUUCAUUCUUAGUUGUUGGAAUUGUUUGGCUUUCAAAUCAUUUUGAAAAUGAAAAUAAGAAAUUUUGAUAUUUAUGUUCCUCUUGUUUAGUAUCUUAGUAACACUUGUGCUAACUAAUGUGGGAACAUAGUUAGACAUAAUUUUAACACCUUAAAAUAGGGAACUAGUAGUCCAGGUUGUGGAGAACCAUUGCAGUUUAUGAUGCUUCACCAAACUGUACCUCAUUUUCUCUUGCUGUAGAAACCCAACAAAGAAGUUUGGCCAAGUAUCAAACUGUGAAAAUUACUAACAGGGCAUUGAAUGAAAUAAGUUUUCACUUUCUUUCUGAGUGUAAUUAUUUGAGUACGUUAAUUUCUGUGUUCUUUACCCUCGAUUUUCUUUUGCUGCUAAAUUUUGGUGGAAAAAUAGAGGAUCCUGUCGGCAAGGCCAGGUAAUACUGACUGCUCACCAACUAGAAGAGAAAGCUCUUUUUCACUUGUAUAGUAUGGAUUCAUUGUUCACUCCAUCUCCUCUUUUUUCUUUCCACUUAAUACUCCUCUUGAUUGUUUUUGAAUUUGAAGACCCCCCCCUCAAUAUCCAUGUACGUGAGGUGAGAUCACAUAUGAUAUUGAAAUGAAUAGGUACACAUUUAUUAUUGUGGCCCUUGUGUUGCCUUCUGCGUAUUUAGGAGAAACAUGAAUUUUUCUUUCCAGAUUUCUUUAUGUUCAUCAAUAAUUGAGAAAGUUCACACAGAAAAGUGAACUGUGUUCAUAACAAUAUUAUAGUGAUCAUUGAAUAUAGAUUCUAUGCUGAAGUACAUGAUUUUUUUUUAAUCCAAGUAGAGUCUUUUGGAGUAUUGAAAUGUUCCAAGUUUUUGCACAUGGCUUGGGUAAAAGUUAAGGUUAAAUUGGCUAUUGAUGAUGGCUCGUGGAGGGAUUAUAUAUCCCAAACCGUGUUUGUGCUUUGUAUUAUACAGUGUCUCUCUAUCCAUGAUUUGAAUCACAUGAACUUCAACAAUAUGUAUGAUGGCUUAUUAUUACAAUGAUCGUACCCUAAUCAAUUUCAUUCUCGAUUCUAAUCUAACCACUGAGCUCUUCAAUCUCUCUUGCACCUAAAUUUGGGGUCCUUGAGUUUUGAGUUUAAUGACUGGGGCACCUACUUUCUCCAGUCUAACUAUGUUGCUGGAAAUUGCAGACCAAUGAUUCUGGAUUAGCAUCACAUGUUGCUGGACUAUUUGCCCGCUCUCUCAGCUGGAAGGAUGUGAAAUGGCUUCAGUCAAUCACUACAUUACCAAUUCAGAGUUUCCUGCUAAGUUAUUCUGUUUUAAUAACUUAGCAGGGAUCUGUCAUUCGCUUUUCAGUAUUAAAAGCACCUGGCAUGGAUGUACUGAAGAUUUCUAUGAGUCCACCACAAGAAAUAGCAGAUGGAGUUUCAAUAUGGGAAUGGUCUGGUGCUGCCUUAGAUGAGGGAGCUGAUGCACCAAAAUAGUUUUCGGACUAUCUUGGGAAACCUAGUCGACUUGUUCGCUUUAAUGCAGCUUCAGAAACUAGACCUGUGAAACCGUCCUUUUGGUCUCAUAAACCUGUGGAACCUGAAUAUGCUGGGGGGAAGCAAAUCAUGUUCUCCGACCUUUUUCCAUACUUGAUAGCGUCUCAGGCAUCAUUGGAUACACUAAAUGAGCAUCUGAAGGACCCUGUACCAAUUAACCGUUUCAGACCCAAGUACUUUUCUUCUUAUAUAGCAUCUCCUUAUAUUGUUUAACAAGCAUCAAAUUUGAUCUUUUGUUUUUGGUAGUGAAAAUUUUGUCAUGGAAUUGUGAUGAGCUCCUACUCUUGUCAAAGUGAAGCUUGAAGAAGACAAGAAAGAAGCUUUGCCUUAUUUGUUUCUCACAGCCAUGUUUAUUGGAUCAUUAUGAAUAAUUGAUCCAUUCCAUUUUGUAGCCAAAUUGUUUUGUAGUAGGUGAAUUGGGUUUUAUUUUGUCCAUUUUGUAAACUGUUAAGGAUGAUGAUUUCAGAUAAAAUACCUCAAUAUUCAAAUCA